rnacentral:lncRNA from 1 species
CAGGGAUGAUAGCUGAACUAAUAAUAUUGGAAUAUCUGAAAUUAUUCAUCCCAGGAAAGGAAGCGUACCUAUCAAGGAUACAUGAAGCCAGCAUAUCUGGGUCCCAUUCUGACAGCUAAUUAUUAGGGUUUUCCGAGCAAGUCAGCUGGUUGGUGUCCAAUGAUGAGAAACUGGGUCAUCAAGGCAACCAUUAUCUAAUGCUUUACAAUGAGGAGAUUGAGAAGAGGAAGCUACAAGAAUCUGUCUAGAAGAAGAGAGGAUACAC